AGCGUGACGGCCAUUGAGUUCCUCACCGAGGGGGGGGGGGGCUGAACAACUCACCUGGGGAUCGGACUUAGGGGCUGAGCAUGACCCUGGGGGCUGGACAUCGCACCUGAGGCCUGGACCUUUCAACCUUCCCCCACCCUCCUCACCGGGCGGCCGACUUGUCACCUGUAAACUAAGCUCUGCUCCAGGGGACCGGCUCAAUGUGUUGGGAGCCCGGUAGUCGACCUUUCCGCCCGGGGCCUCAGGCAGCGGGCACACAGUGACCUAACGAUUUCUAAAUGACUUGAUUGAGAAGUAAUGUGCAUUAUCUAGAUUUUAGAGAACAACACCUGCUUGUACACAUAAUGCAGUUUCAUCUGGUCUUUGGUUGACAAGUAGGCUUCAUUUGCACCAGAUCAUUUAUGUUUCCAGCUUAAAGCCACAAUUUGAACGAAUGAUUCCGACAAUUUCCGCGGAAGCCUUGGAAUCCCAAUUGACAGGGACACCAGGAUCUUUGAAGGGUACUACCUAAUCUGAGGUGCCCUCCUUCUCCAGGCACAUUUGCUAACAGUAUGGCCUUUUUGAACUUGGCUGCUGGAAGGCGAUUAGCCAUCUGUCUGCCCAGCAGCUCCCCCCAUUCCCGUGCUACUGUUGGUCCUCAGCAGAAAGCAUCCCUAUCUGGCUGUGAGGAAGUGCCCUGUCUGGGAGGAGGAGGAUCAGGUACAUGAAGUUUAAAGCACCACAUGGCUGGCAAGAAAUCAUCAGGCAAGUCGGACGGCACACCUUUCAUUUCAGCACCCGGGAGGCAGAGGCAGGAGGAUCUCUGUCAGCCUGAGACCAACCU